UUCAAAUGUAGGGAAUUGUAAAGUAAAAUGUCAUGAAAAAUCUCAAGUACAGUAAGAAGUUAUUUGUACUUGGUUACUUUCCACUAGUGAAUUUAUCUCACACGUCAUGAGAUGGUUGAGUGGGGUCCUCUUAGGAUCAGUGCCGUAAUCCCAACGAACAUCCCAUAAAUGAGUGUGAAUGCUUGUGCCAACUCACAUUCAUCUAAUCUGUCUGAUCUCGCUCAACGCUGCACUGGGCUGAGCUGCUCACUUUUUUUUUUUUUUUAAAGGCAUUAACAUUGCAGCAUGGCGCCGUAGCGGUUAGCACGUAUGUCUCACAGUUCGAGGGCUCAUGGUUUGAAUCUUUGCAGUUUGUAUGUCUCAGAUUCCGGAUGCUGUAAUCAAUAAUUUAAUAUGUUGGUGGGUUGGUUUUAAUAAGUUUAAAUGUGUUCAAAGUGUGUUGGAAGGUAAAAGUACUUAAAAAAAUAAUAAUUUAUACGGUCUCUAUCUAUAGCAUAGAUUUUCACCGAUCAUUGGGGUUCAUUGCAUAAUAUUUCUUUGAGGGGGAGGGAAGUGAAAUUGCAAUCUAUCCUUUGAACCCACCGGGCCAGUUCAGCCGCGCCCCAAAGUUGAGCGCCAGCUUCUUGAUCCAAAGCGUCCUCUCGGCGAGCUGUCGCCAAGGCAGGCCCGUUUGUGUCAGGACCGAGGGCGGCCACUGGAGCAGCAGGCAGGCCAUGAGGGACCAGAGGCUGGUGAAGGAACCCCGCUCCUGGAUUCGAACCAUCAGAUGAGCCAGUCGGCUCACGCGAGCCUGCUUCUCCUCCGACGGCCUCUGAGGAUCUUCUCUGUGGAUACACGUCGAAGGAAAAAUAGUGAGUAUAGAAAUACGUGGAAAGUCUGACUAAAACUGAAGGGUAAGGAAACCAAAACAGUAUUUCCCAUAGAAAAUAAUUUCAAUCCAAUUAACCUGUUCCACACACCCAAGAAUAUUCAUAAAGAUACAUUUUAUCGAGAAUAACUGUAGUUUUACAUACUGAAAACAGUGUGAAAACAAUUUUGUGCUUGUUUAUUGAGUGUGACUGUUAAAUAAACCGCCAUGUGACCCAAGAAAGUGUGGUAAAACUGAUAUUAUACUGUAUGCUUUUAUUUUGAAGGUCUGACUUGAAGGUUGUGUGACGCCAAUGUUGCCUGAGUGUUGCAGAGAAGACCGGAGGGUUAUUGCCCUCAUUUCGCAUUUUACACUACUAAAGUAAUGCUUUGGAUGAAAUUUGCAUCGACUCUGGGAAAUAAAUGGUUGAGUCACGCGUAUUUUUGUACGAAAACCAAGCAUGAUGCGCAAAAAUUGGGACAGAAUUUAGAUGAAAAAUUUGUUGAAAACCAAAUUGUACAAAAAAAAAAAAAAAGAGGUGCUCUAACUGGUCUCUUAAAAUACCGGAGUAAAAAUCGAGCUUUAUUUAUCGACAAAAGUAGUCAUUUGCCGCCACCAUCAUUCCUCCUUACAAACCUAUUUGUGCAUCACUUGCAGAUUUUCACUAUCCACAGCUGGGAUCGGUUCCUCUCCCUCUGCUGGCAUUCACUGAAUAGUGACAGGCAGAACAAUUAAAUGCUCUUCCACCAGUUGCCAGAGGGUACAAUUAAAUUAUGUAUCCAAUAUUUUAAAAAUCGAGUAUUCCAACGAUUCCCCCAUCAAUUAUUUGAGUAAUCAUAUAAUAAUGUAUUUUGCAUUAUUAACCACGGUAACAUGUACAUGUGAGGUGCAGUUAUUAUUUUUGCCGACCUGGGGUCACCGUCCUCGUGUUCCUAGUGACUUUGAGUGUGUAUAGCUUUAAAAGGCGAGACCUGGCCUGGUGGAUGAAGUGGGCGUCAGCGAGUGCGAGAGCGACAGUUGGCUGGCUGUUAACUGGCUCGUCCGUAUUGAGUUUGUUUUCUCACCGGUCGGAAACUGAAAUGAUUCGUAACGGGAAAAUGAUUUUGUGACUUACAUGGAUAUGAGCGGCUCUAUGUUCCCCUGACAAAGUUGUCUGGCCGACACGGGCCGACCAAAGUUGACGUGCAUGCAGCCGUAAUCCUCCCGUAGGACCCUGGCCACCCUCAGCAGACCCUGCGGACGAGAACCCGACCUCAGGUUACCUUUUCUGCGCCUCACCGGAUGUGACCAGCACUAACGAGAACCCGAUGAACAUGACGCACCAUGGUGCUCUCUUUGGGCUUGGGGAUGCCCAGGAGCUCGCGGGCCAGCAGGGACUCUUCUAGAAGCCGAUCGUAGCUGAGGCUGAUGGGAACCAAGCACUGCACAGUACAGCCUGUUGGAGGCGAUGUCGCGUCGGAUGUAGAACGCUCCACAGCGACGCAGCAUCUCGCCCAUGAACUUCAUCCCAGCCAAAGCUACAUGUCGCGGGAGGGAGAGAACAGCAAUGUGAAUCUCCAGUUGGACGUGUGUCACUUAACAGUGGCCAUUUUGCAUAAGGUGCAAAUGAGGGAAUGUCCCAGGAGAUCCUGAAGAUCGAUGGGGUGAAAAAAAAAGUCCAUCGAUUUCUUUCCAGUAUCUUUUAUAUAUUUCUUGUGUUUGUUACAGAACAAUAAUAAUAUAUUUUUUUAAAAUAAGGGAAGUUGGGCACUGCCCUACCAGAUCCAGCAGAUGGUGCUGUGUUGACUCGUAAGUCAAGGUAGUUACCCAAUCCGGAGGCGAUGACAGGUAGCGGGAUGUCGUAGGUGAACAUGAUGUAGGAGAGCACCAAGAAGUCCGUGUAGCUCCUGUGGUUGGGCAGCAGGAUGACGGGAGUGUCCUCCACAGCCUGCUGAAGCUGCCAGAAAUGCUGCGAUUGGCUGGCAACCAGUCCAGGGCUGUACCCCGCCUCCUGCCCGAUGACAGCUGGGAUAGGCUCCAGCACGCCCGCGACCCUAGUGAGGAGAAGCGGCUCAGAAAAUGGAUGGAUGUGCAGAAAUGUCAUAGUGGUGGAAAAUGUUACUAGACGCAGUAUAUAUAUAUACAUAUACUAUAUAAGAUAAGAAAAUAAAAGUAUAUAUUUGGCACCAAGUUUAUCGCAAGUAAAAAUAAAG